AUGAAAAUUUACAGGGACCUUUCAGACCUCAAGAAUAAACUGCGAAGCGCCCGGCCUCGAGGACCAAAUUUUAAUUUUACAGAAUUGGCAGGGGCCGCGCGAACGCGUACCCCCUCUACCACAAAUUACGACGUUCACUCUCCCACUUGGGGAGAUGAUAGGCCAACGCGCCCACCAAGUGCAAUGUGGCCCAUUGACCUAGGCCACGGGCCUUCUUGA
rnacentral:rRNA from 1 species